CCUUCUACUUCAUGGAAUCCAUCUUCAAAAGGUCUUUGCUUGGGCAUCAUGGAGUUCCAAAGGCUUCAAACGUCAGCUCUAAGUUCAGAAAAGCUUAGGUUGAAGUUUCAGUUUGGGCUUCAGAAACUUCAGAAAGGUGUACCUAAAAUUUCCAGGACUGUCUUCAAUGCCAGCCAGAAACCCCAAAAAGAUCGAACAGUCAAGAAACAAGAAUCAUAUCCACAGAAUGUGGAUCUUCCACCAGUACUACCAAAGCAAAAAAAGAAGCCCUAUCCCAUUCCUUUCAGUCUGAUCAAGAAGGCUGCAAGGAAGGACAAAAAACUUGCAGAAAUGGGUAUUGAGAAGCCCCUUGAACCUCCAAAAAAUGGAUUACUUGUCCCUGAUCUGAUUCCUGUUGCGCAUGAGGUACUGGAUGCCUGGAAAGUAUUGAUAAAAGGAGUUGCACAGCUCUUGCAUGUUAUUCCUGUAUAUGGUUGCAGUGCAUGCUCAGAGGUUCAUGUGGCCCAUACAGGUCACCAUAUUCAGGAUUGCCUUGGUCCGAGCAGUGCUAAGCGCCACAGUUCCCACUCAUGGAUCA
rnacentral:misc_RNA from 1 species